CGAACGAACGACACCGAAAUUGAGGCCCCGCCUAUAGACUCGUGGAUUUUAUUAUUUUAUUUCGUUUUAUCGCGAUGUUUUAAUUAUAAAUAAGAAUAUAGAUCUACCAGGCAGGAGACUGUCAGCAAUAUGGAUACAUUUAGAGUUAUAGGCAUCCUAGCGGUUGUAUACCAAGCGACCGCUCUAUUGACUUCACCACCCAAGAUAGUAAAGCAACCAACUCAGGAAGAACUGCUAUUCCAAGUGGCGCUACCAGGAGAGGUGGACAAGCCCUUCAUCAUAGAAUGUGAAGCGGAAGGAGAGCCGGCACCUAAAUACCGGUGGAUCAAGAACGGCAAGCCCUUUGAAUACUCAAGUUACGACAAUCGAAUCUCGCAGCAGCCCGGACGCGGCACCCUGGUCGUGAGUAAGCCCAGGGACGAGGAUCUCGGCCAGUACCAGUGCUUCGCCGAAAACGAAUGGGGAACGGCCACAUCCAACUCAGUGUUUGUCAGAAAAGCGGAGCUCAAUUCCUUCAAGGAGACAGAUGGCCAGCAAAUCGUCGUCGCUGAUGAAGGAAAGCCGUUCAAGCUAACCUGCGAACCACCAGACGGUCAUCCAAGCCCGAAGGUGUACUGGAUGUUACAAGGUGACCAGGGGCAACUGAAGACGAUCAACAACUCUCGCAUGACCCUGGACCCUGAAGGAAACCUGUGGUUCUCGAAUGUGACGAGACAAGAUGCCAGCGGGAAUUACGGGUACACCUGUGCUGCUAAGUCGAUAUUCAGGAACGAAUACAAACUAGGCAAUAAAGUGUACUUGGAAGUGAAACCGACAGGAAUAUCGCCAGCUCUGAACAAGCAUGAACCUGUACGCCAGUACACCACCAGACGGAACGAGAGGGGCCUGAAGGGGAAACGAGUGGAACUCUACUGCAUUUACGGUGGCACGCCUCUUCCACUGAUAGUGUGGAAGAAAGACGGCAGUCCCAUACUGUCAUCGCAGAGCAUCACCCAAGACAACUACGGCAAGACGCUGGUCAUCAAGUCGCCCCGCUACGAGGACCAGGGCACGUACACCUGCGAGGUCAGCAACGGAGUCGGCUCAGCACAAUCUUACUCCAUCAACCUGAACAUCGAAGCGGCACCGUUCUUCACAGUGGAGCCUGAGAUCCAAAACAAAGCGGAGGGUGAAAUGGCCGAGAUCAGAUGCGAAGCUGGUGGCACCCCCUCCCCGCAGAUCUCCUGGAUCCACAACGGUGUACCGAUUGCCCAAACGCCUAGCAACCCCCGGCGGAGAAUCAGCAACGACGGCAAAUACAUCAUCAUCACCGACCUGGUGAAGAAGGAUACUGGCAACUACGGUUGCAACGCGACCAAUAGCAUCGGAUACGUGUAUAAGGAUAUCUACGUCAACGUGCAAUCGCUCCCGCCAGAGAUCAAGGAAGCUCCUGAGAACGUGACGAAGGUGGACGGCUCCACGGCAGUGCUCAAGUGUCGGGUGUUCGGUGCCCCCAAGCCAAUCGUGAAAUGGAUGAGGGACGAUGUCGACAUCACCGGUGGAAAGUACAACAUCACAUCGGAGGGCGACCUCGUGAUACCGGACCUGUCGUUCACAGAUGUCGGCACCUACCAGUGCUACGCCAAGAAUAAGUUCGGAGAGAAGUCAGCCUUCGGAUCCUUGACCGUUAAGAAACACACGGUAAUCACCGACGAGCCGGAACACUACGAAGUAGCAGCGGGCUCCUCGGCAACGUUCCGAUGCAACGCGAACGCAGACGACUCUCUCAAUCUGGAGAUCAUCUGGCUGAAUGACGGGCAGCCAAUAGACUUCGAGAACCAGCCGCGGUUCCGCAUGACCAAUGAUUACUCGCUCCUCAUAUCGGACACCAUCGAACUGGAUUCCGGCGAGUACACGUGUAUAGCAAGGACGGAGAUCGACGAGGCUAGGGCGCAGGCUACGCUCACUGUACAAGACAAGCCGAACCCGCCGGCUCUGGAAGGCAUCUCGUGCAGCCAGCGGCAGGCCACGGUGCGCUGGCACUCGAUGGGCGACAACCGCGCGCCCGUGCUGCGCUACACCGUGCACUACAACACCAGCUUCACGCCCGACUCCUGGGACGUCGCCUCCGACUCCGUGCCCGCCACCGACGCCGCCUGGGCCGCCGAGCUCAGCCCCUGGGCCAACUACACCUUCAGGGUGGUGGCGUGGAACAAAAUCGGUCCGUCGUUGCCGUCGGGACACUCGGAUGUGUGCACCACACAACCCGACGUGCCUUACAAGAACCCCGACAACGUCGACGGCAAGGGCUCCGACCCCACCAACAUGGUCAUCUCCUGGUCGAAAAUGCCGCAAAUCGAACACAACGGUCCCGGGUUCUACUACCGCGUGUUCUGGCGCCGCAACAUUACGGGCGAGCCGUACCAGGACCAUCACGUGUCUGACUGGCAGCAGGAACAGUUCGUGGUACCCAACACUCCCACCUUCCAGCCGUACAAGAUCAAGGUUAUUGCUGGUAACUCAAAAGGCACAUCAAAUGUGUCCCCCGUCGAAAUCAUAGGCUGGUCAGGGGAGGAUACGCCGCUACAAGCGCCCAACAACUUCAGCCUCGUCCAAGUGAUCACCGGCACCACCGCUUUGUUGAACUGGAACCCAGUACCGGCGCAAUCCGUCCGUGGACACUUCAAGGGUUACAAAAUCCAGACCUGGGUCGAUGGAGAAGAAGACAGGCUGAAAGAAGUUUUGGUGAAAGCAGACGCGACGAGCGCACUCGUGUCCAAAUUUAAACCUUACAAACGCAACAACGCGAGAAUUCUCGUCUACAACGGCAGGUACAACGGACCGGCCAGCGAAAUCUUAAGCUUCGUUACACCAGAAGGCAAACCGGGGACAGUGAGGUCGUUUGAAGCUUAUCCCAUUGGCUCGUCUGCUAUGCUGCUCAAGUGGGACAAACCUAUAGACGAGAAUGGGGUACUGACAGGCUACAAAAUAUAUUACCAGGAGGUUAAAGGCACCGCGCUUGGACCUCUUCGUGAAAGGAAGAAGGAAAUAGACCCGUCGUUCGAUAGAGCGAAGUUAGCCGGUCUAGACCCGAACACCAAGUAUAGGAUCGAGAUUCGUGCCAAAACAAAGGCAGGCGAAGGAGAUAAGUACUAUGUAGAGCAGACUACGAAUGGGGGACUAGCAGCGAAGCCGGAUACACCCGUGUUUGAAGCCGAGCGGCUGCCCACGAAGGAUGGUAGCGCACAUAUCAAGGUCCGAUGGUUGCCGUCGCUGGACGGUCACGCGGGCUCGCACUUCGUCGUGUGGUACAAGGUUCGAGGACAUACGGAUUGGCUGCACACCAACGAGAUUACCGAUGAUGAUUACGUGAUCCUCACCGGCCUCGAGCCCGGUCAGGUGUACGAGGUGAAGAUCAUAGCACACGAUGGAAACUACUUCAGUGCCAGCGAGAUCAAGGAGGUCGAUAUCGAGGGCCCGACGAUAACGCGCGAGGACAAGAUGGCGACGGCGGGCUGGUUCAUCGGCGUGAUGGUGGCGCUGGCGUUCCUGCUGCUGGUGCUGGUGCUGGUGUGUGUGGCGCGCCGCAACCGCGGCGGCAAGUACGACGUCCACGACCGCGAGCUGGCGCACGGCCGCAGGGACUACCCCGACGCGGGCUUCCACGAGUACACGCACCCAUUGGAUAACAAGUCCAGGCAUUCGAUGAGCAGUGGCACGAAGCCGGGUCCCGAAAGUGACACCGACUCUAUGGCUGAGUACGGUGAAGGGGAGACAGCGGGUAUGAACGAGGACGGAUCCUUCAUCGGACAGUACGGCCGCAAGCGGCGCCCGCCCGCCUCCGGACACACAGAUUCUGCUUCGCAGGCCUUCGCCACACUCGUCUGAACCCAUCCUCAUAGUCCUUAACAAACAAUCACACCUUAGGCUGUAUAAACCUACUUCCUUUGCACGAACUCUUCUCAGUAGCGACGUUCGCGUAUGCUAACAUUCAAAAACGUAGUGCCAUCGCAUCACAUUAAAAAUAGAACAGUCUGGUACUGGACAGCCAAUCUACGGAGGCCUCGAUUUGAUCUUCGCUCUGAUUGGUCCGUUUGACGGUGAAACCGCCCGGCUAAAUUUUUUAACGUAUUUUUUUUAUAGACUUAUUUGUCUCUGGUUGUACCUUAGUUUUUUAGUUUAUAAAUGACUGCCAGUACUUUUAGGCGCUACUACGGGCGUUGGAUGUCUUUAUUGCACUAUUUAAAAAAUAGUUAUAAUAAAGGCUUAUCACGUGUCUAUAUUUUGUGAAUUAUCUGUGAAAUCUCAAAUGCAGCGUCUUGAAUUAGAUAUUAAGUACACAAGCAAAUAUUGUUUAAGUUUAGGUUGUAAAAAAUAUGUUUUUAUUUGUGUGAAUUCGUGUGAUCUUUUUCUACUUACAUUGUAUGUAUUUUUUAUUCGCUUUAUUGUUAAUUGACUGCAGUUAGGUGCAAUAUGAAGUAAUCUUUUCCUUUUUCCGUCCUUAUAUUUUACUCCUUACGUUUGCCUGUGCACGAGUUUCUUUUUUUUAUUUAUGAGGUCGGUUUACGGAAGACGGCUCGUUCAUCGGACAGUACGUGCCGGGGGCGAGAGUGCUGCCUCCCCCGCCGCCCCCGCCCCCCG